rnacentral:lncRNA from 12 species
CCCAGCUCAGGCUCACUUGGCUGGAGACAUCUGCUACUGGAGGAUGUUCUCUUGCUGCCGGCCCACCUCUCGGGGCUCUGGCUCCCAGGAACCCCGGGGGAGCCGCUUGUUCCAAUGCUGUAGGCAGUGGCUCCAGGAUAGAUACCAAGGCGUCAGGGCGGUGAUCCGGAGGCGCCGUCAGAGCUCCACCCGGGACGUGGGGCGCGAGCGGGAGGAAGGGGUCGUCUGCCCCACCGCCUCCAGGAGCAGGGAGGUGCCCUGCGCAGCUACCAGAGGCCAGCGCGGGCUCAGGGGUGCUGGGGCCGCGGCCAGGAAGGGGCAUCAGAUUGUCCCGAAGAAGCUCAGCCGGACGGAGCUGCUGGGGCACGAAGACCGACAACUGCUGCUCGCCUUGCAGCGCAGGGACGUCAUCUCCAUUUGCAGCUUCUUAGACGAGUAUCGUGGAUUCGCCACCACGGAGGAGGUGCUGGACCUGCUGUUCACCGAGUGAGCACCUGCCCCUCCGCAGCCCAGGGCUGUGCCACCUGCUGCUGGGGAGGCUGGGGAUGGUGUGAGCUUCCCGGCCUCGGGCUGCUCCCCCGCCUGGAGCAGGGUCCCCCAGGGCCUAGCGGGGUCCUGGAGGGCAGCCCCGGGUCAGCCAGAGGGUCUGUGCCUGUGCUCAGCAGCUGUCUUCCUCCCCCAUCAUGAGGCCUGGGCCUCCUCCACCCCGUCACCAGGGUCCUGAGCGGCCUGUUUCCCAUUUGAAAGGGAGGUUUGAGAGUCUAUCGGGGGUCUGUGUCCUCGGGCAACCAGACCGGGGGACCCCGGGGCACCCUGGGCCCACUCGGUUAUGGGCCAUGGGCCUCGCCGAGCCCUUUCAUGCUCAAGCCUUCAGGAGGCCCCAGCAGGUGCGGGCACUUCUCCGGGAGCUGCCCGUGGCCCCACGCACAGAGCUGACGGCCCCCGGGGCUCCGGCCUAGUCAGGGGUCAGAGGGUGACAGCCCCCAUUAUGAGAGGUCACGUCCACAGGACGAUUCAUGGGAUGCCCCCGCCCUCCUCUAGAUAUGGGUACAUCGUAGCUGCAUGUGGUGACGACGACACGGUCCAGCGUUGGAAACUGUGAGUGACUCCGGCUCCUGCAGGAGGGCCUUCCCUCUCCAGGAGGGCAGCGAAGGGGCUGUGGGGCGGGGGGGCGGCUGCACCCUCACCUCACACAUCUGCAAUUCCUGUGACAGAGUAAAGGUCUAAGGCCCCUUCUGGAAAAGAGGGCAGGAGAGCCAGGAUGGGGUGCGGUCUUGGUGGGAGACACUGGGACCCCUAAGGAGAACUUCUCCAUGCCCCCCAACCCUCUCUCUGCCCCACACCUGGGGCCCAGAGCAGAGGGGGUGGGGAGCAUCGCACUCCCCAAUCUGGUGGCACCUGGACCUGGGGGCACAGCAGGUGCUCAGGAGGGCUGGUGAGGCCUCCAGACCAGGCGGCCCCCACCCUGUGGGAGAUGAGAGAUUAGAGUC